GACGAACGCUGGCGGCGUGCUUAACACAUGCAAGUCGAACGGAAAGGCCCUGCUUUUGUGGGGUGCUCGAGUGGCGAACGGGUGAGUAACACGUGAGUAACCUGCCCUUGACUUUGGGAUAACUUCAGGAAACUGGGGCUAAUACCGGAUAGGAGCUCCUGCUGCAUGGUGGGGGUGGGAAAGUUUCGGCGGUUGGGGAUGGACUCGCGGCUUAUCAGCUUGUUGGUGGGGUAGUGGCUUACCAAGGCUUUGACGGGUAGCCGGCCUGAGAGGGUGACCGGCCACAUUGGGACUGAGAUACGGCACAGACUCCUACGGGAGGCAGGAGUGGGGAAUAUUGCACAAUGGGCGGAAGCCUGAUGCAGCAACGCCGCGUGCGGGAUGACGGCCUUCGGGUUGUAAACCGCUUUCGCCUGUGACGAAGCGUGAGUGACGGUAAUGGGUAAAGAAGCACCGGCUAACUACGUG
rnacentral:rRNA from 1 species